AAAACGAUGAUUUUGAAGAUGAAAUGCGAGAAUACCUAGGUUUCACCAUUGUUAUUGGUUCAGCUAAAAUAUGAAAUUCAAUCCAUUCAAAUUAACACUUGUAAUAUAAUAUAUAUAUAUAAUUCCUCGAUGUCAAUCUCAUAUCUACUACUUCUUAUUCGUGAGUUUAGUUUUCACUAUUCCUACAAGACCUGCAAUCGAGGCUCGCCACAUGUCCACUGCUUUAACACAAUUCUUUUUUUCUUUCAACUGGAGGCUGGCAAACAACUUCGUUAUGCACUCUUCACUGUUCCUCCCCUACGAUGACGAACCCUUGAUUGCUUGGGCAUAUCCUCUCCCCCUUUCUACCAACUCUGAAGUACAACUCACACUCUUAUGAUAUAUUCAUCUCUCUUCAAUCUGAAACUCGUUCAACUUUCCACUCACUUCUCACCAACCCAUCUAUUGCGUCCUAUCUGAUUGAUCUGAUGAUGGUUUGCUUUUGGCCGCCGAUUGAUGUUUGCCUCACGAUUUCUUUGCCGCCGUGUAUGGUCUUACCAUUCACAUCUCUACAUCUCCAAUUAUUCACUGUUCAAGCGUCAUACCUCUCCUGCAAAACCGAGAUUGUAGAGUUUGAACUUUGAAUGCAUCAGCAAAGGUAGACUCACUAAUGAAAUGGGUGAGAAGAUUGAAGCAAAUUAGGUUGAAAUGAAAAUGCCCUUCAAGUGCUCGACCAAAUGUUCAAACAAACUUCCAAGUGUUUGAAUGCAGAUAGAGUAGUUUGCAUGGGAUGAUGAUUCUGAUAUUUAACACUAUGGCCCUGUUUAUUAUCCUUCUACUCACUCUACUGGUGCUCAACGUGACAUAGAGAUUUAUGCUUACUUUUAGUUUUAGGUCUCACUGAAUUGUAGCUCAACUUGACAUAGUUUGGAUUCUUUUCACUUGGCUUUGUACUGGAUAAUUUUUUCUUUUGGGUUUUUUUUCAAGGUGUGCUACAACUUAUAGCUUUACUUUUCAGGAAAAAUUGAAGAAUAUCUCAAAAUGUUGGGAGCUAAAUACAGCGGACCUGUAAUGAAGCUGAAGUGGAAGUUGGGAUACUUGAUCAGCUUAAUGCUAGCAGGAUGAAGAAAAUUACUUUCAAGAAUCAAGGAGAACUCGAAGUGAUAUUUUUAUGUGCAGAUUUAAAAAUAGAUCCAUAUGCUGCCUGAGAGAGCAGUGUGGCACAUUGAUUGGUUUUGAAGACACUAAACCAGCUGAUUCCUAGCUGACACGAACAAUCAUAUAGCAAAAGCAUAAGUUCUCCUCAUGUCCAUUAUGUUGUAUUUUAAAGUGAAGAAUGAUGGUUCUCUGUGCUCCUCUCAUGAAGGGUAUAGCUCUUAGUAUGUUAAGUGUUAUGGAGCUACUAUGCAGCAAUUUCAUCUUGGUUCAAAUAUACCUAGCAUUUAAGCAGUUGAGGAAGUAUUUGGUUUAAAUUGGUAGGAAUUAUUGAUGAAUGUUCUUAUAAUAUUUCAUUAUGCAAAAGCUGUUUAUCAGACACCUUUGUCUCUCAAAACAAUUUCAUGGGUCUUCCUAGACUGGCUUUUAGAGGUGGUGCUAUCAUAAAAAGUUUUAGUGAUGUAUAUGAUUGUAAAACUUUUGAUAUUGUAGGCUGUACACAUGGAAUCUUCACUUUCUCUGUGAUCUCUUAAGUGGUAAUUAAAGAUAUGUUGCGGCUUCC